AAAACUCAGACAAAGAGCGGUCAGGUGAGAGGAUAAACAAGGACACAAGAGUCCCGGCCUUUGUGAGGGGAGAAUAAUGGCUUGAGGUUGUCAGCAGCUAGCAAAUUCCAUGGCCCCCUACCCGGCCCUCCCCUUCCCUACCGGGAAGGCUGCGAAUGAGACGCCAGCUGCAGCUUGCAGUGUCAGGGCCAGGAAGCCUGUGGGGCCUCGGGAAAUGGUUUGCGGUAUCUCUGGCUCUCUUGGGUCGCCCCACGGCGAGUUGGCUGUCCAUCUUUGCAACCUGGCCGACCGCCACCCAUGACUGUAGAGAGAGCUGUCCACAGACGGCCUGGCCCCGAGCUCCUCGGAGACACCGGGAUCACUCUCCACCUUCGAUCCCCUCUUUGAUCUCCUCAACAACGAGUAUCAAGGAGUGUUUCUCUCUCUCCAAGUGACAGGUGGGGACAGCGAUGGGCACUGCUGUCCUAAUGCUUUCUGGACUCCUUUGGGAGGUGUGUUCAGAGCCCCGCUCGGUGCUCCUCAGAGUUUAAGGUACGGGAGAGUCACCUGGGAAUCUUGGCGAAAACGUGGGUUCUGAUUCAGCAGGUGUAGGGUGGGGAGCUGCGAUUCCGAAGUUCUACUCAGGCCCCAGGUGAUACCAAUGCUGCUGGUCCGUGGACCACAUCUUGCAUAAAAGGGCCCCGGAGCCGCCCCUCAGUCUGCUUGCGAAGAGCUCGUGGUCCGUGCAGCAAGACGCCCGUGCUUCUUGACCACUCGCCGGACGCCCCUGCGAAGCUGUCCUUGGCUCUGCUCAGCCCCGCAGUGCACUUGGCCUGAGUGUUUCUGACCCAAGCUUGUGCAAGUCUAAAGUAACCCACUGGGAAAUUCUCUUAGAAGCAGUAUUCAGCUGCUUGAAUUUGGGAUUUGGGGAAAGCCAGAAUGUCCUCAAACUCAGAAAUAUCAGCAGUGGAGGUAAAAACCACAGAUUGGAGACACAGAGCUCCCUUGAUGAUUCUGAACCCCCAUGACUUCUGAGUGGGAAGACGGAGAAAGCCCUGCAAGACAGCCAGGAUUUGCCACGGAUGCAGCUGAAAAGUCUGAGAAGAAGGACAAGUAGAUUUCCUUCGUGACGAGCACUGCGUUCUACUUCGUAGAAGCACCCAACAGAGAACUAAGGAGUGGUCUUGAGUCUGGGGAAGAAAGUCAAGAAGCACUUGGAGGACAUAUUUUUGAAGGGUGUUACUUUGGCCAACACACCGAUAGACACAGGUUCUGCAAGGAAGUGUAAAUUUACUAGUACUGUAUGUAAUAUGAUACGAUACAGCGCCAGGAAGUGCAAUAAACGCAAUACGCAAUAAGGUAGGGCAUGUAAUAGGAGGUAAUGUAACCUAAUAUAAUCCUAUCUAUCGAUACAAUAUAACAGUAACUAAAUUUUAUUGAGCACUCAUCCUGUGAUAGACCUGCUACAAUGUACUCUCCUUGCAUGAAUACUUACGAUAUUCACAGUGCAUGUUCCAUUAUGACCCAGAGAUUGGUAACCUGCCCAAAGCCACUUCAUCAGAUGGUGGACUUGAGACUCUAGGGCCCAGGGCUGUCUGCCUCUGUCUGGUUUGCCUUUUCCCUACUGGGGUGUUAAGGAAUGUUGUGGUGACAAGACCAGGUGGUGGCAGCAGGCAAGACGGGGAGAGAGUUGAAGUGAAAAAUAGCUCAUUCGGCUGGCUAGGGAAAUAAAAGAAACAACACCAAAGAGUUAUUUUAAUUCUGCCCAAAUGUUCAGAGAACAAAAUAGUUAAAGGUUUCUUGUUAAACACAGUUCAGGAGAGUAAAGAAGAGGAAAUGCUGUACCGAUAGGAAUUAUACAAACAGAUAAACUUCUUUUUCCAGCAUAGAACCAUGAAAAUUUAUGCAUGCAUUAUGAAGGUCUUGCAAUUCAUUUGUACAUCUCCACAGUCCUUCUCUGCCUGGAUAGUUGAUUCAUUUCGUCACUAACUCCAACGCUCACUUUAUUCUUUCCUUCCUUCAUUUAUUUACCUAGUCACUUGUCAAAUGUUUAUUCAGACUCUUUCAUGCACCCCUACCAAAAAGGAUAAUGAAGGUUUAAGACUUAAAAACAAACAAACAAACAAAUAAACGAACAAAAAACAAAAA